rnacentral:sRNA from 1 species
CUUUCAGCUAGUUUGAGUGACGCACUGACCAGUGAAGCGCAGUGAAGCAGUGGGAACCGGAAUAUCCAAAGAGUGGUUUGAAGGAGAAAGAAGCAUUGUGGCUUUAUAUCCUCUGGGCCUGGGUUUCCUGAAGUCAUCACACAUAGAGGAGAGAGAAAAUGGCUGAGUUAAAGUACAUUUCUGGAUUUGGGAAUGAGUGUUCUUCAGAGGAUCCUCGCUGCCCAGGUUCCCUGCCAGAAGGACAGAAUAAUCCUCAGGUCUGCCCCUACAAUCUCUAUGCUGAGCAGCUCUCAGGAUCGGCUUUCACUUGUCCACGGAGCACCAAUAAGAGAAGGUACAAGGAUUAGAUGAAUUCUGACCUGCAGACUGUGGGUACUAUGACAGGGACUUUGUGCUGCCUCCUUCCCCUGGGCCACAGCCUCCCAGAGCUGCCCAAGAUCCUGCUUCUUAUAGGCUAUGGUCUGGGUCAUGGUCAGAAGAGAAUGAACUUCCUGCCAGCUAGCCCCAAGUGACUGGUGGAAGAAGGUGAAGGAAAGCUGCACAGAGCUGGGAAAAUACACAUGUCCAGUUCCAUUUACAAAUUAUCUCCUAUAUUCAGAAGGAAAUAUUCCUAAUAGUUUGGUCUUCUUCUAAAGACUGUCCUGUUGAGUUUUGGC